rnacentral:tRNA from 1 species
CGGGGUGUAGCGUAGCUUGGUUAGCGCACUAGGCUGGGGGUCUAGAGGUCGUGGGUUCAAAUCCCACCACCCCGA